CACGUAGGGCGCAAGCGUUGUCCGGAAUUAUUGGGCGUAAAGAGCUCGUAGGCGGUUUGUCGCGUCUGCUGUGAAAACUGGAGGCUCAACCUCCAGCCUGCAGUGGGUACGGGCAGACUAGAGUGCGGUAGGGGAGAUUGGAAUUCCUGGUGUAGCGGUGGAAUGCGCAGAUAUCAGGAGGAACACCAAUGGCGAAGGCAGAUCUCUGGGCCGUAACUGACGCUGAGGAGCGAAAGCAUGGGGAGCGAACAGG
rnacentral:rRNA from 1 species